GUCGACUGACUGGUCUGGGAGUGGCGGACGGGUGAGUAACACGUGGGUAACCUGCCUAAAAGAAGGGGAUAACACUUGGAAACAGGUGCUAAUACCGUAUAUCUCUAAGGAUCGCAUGAUCCUUAGAUGAAAGAUGGUUCUGCUAUCGCUUUUAGAUGGACCCGCGGCGUAUUAACUAGUUGGUGGGGUAACGGCCUACCAAGGUGAUGAU
rnacentral:rRNA from 1 species